AGGGCUGCAGCUCAGUGGCAGAGGGUCUGCUUUGCAUGCAGAAGGUCCCAGGUCCAAUCCCCAAUGGCAUCUCCAGGCAGCGCUG